rnacentral:lncRNA from 1 species
AUAAUUUGUACUCCUUACAUAUUUUAUAUUAGUGAAUUCUCCUCAUCUCCCCAUGAUUUUUCUCUAGUUGGGUUUCUGCGGAAAUCUUGUGUUUUCGGUUUUUAUUAUUCUUGUUCAAGUUUAACAGCGUCUUUCCAUCUCCACAGUUUAGGGCCGACGAAGACUUUGCCAGCUUCCCUAAUCUGAAUCAAAAUGCGGCGGAAGUGGUCAACAAAUAGUGGAGGGUGCUGCUGAUGUUGGCGGAAAUGCUCCUGCAGUUGCAGAGGGUGAAGAUGUUUCAUCCGCCAUUCAAUAUAAAGUUACGGACUAGAAUUUCACCUCUCCCAUACCCUGACGAAGAAAGAGAAGUUUAGAAUGUUAUGUUGUUAUUUUAAAAAUAAUAAUACUAAUAAUAUAGAAUAAAAUAAAAAUAAUCUUGCACCAAAAACUCUUCUGUUGUAUUAGGUGGCCUUGCUAUUUGAUCAAUGAGUUAUUUGAAAGGAUUUUAUUAGUCAUCAAUUAUUCUGUCUAUUCACUGUAACAUAAAAAGUACAUAUGAGUCACUAGCACGUGCGAUGCUUGUGUACUUUUUUAUUCUUGUUUAAGUUUUAACAGUGCCUUUAGGGCCGAGGAAGACUUCGUUGACGACCGUAAUCUGAAUCAAAAUGCUGCUUUUCCAAGUGUCAACAAAUGAUUGAGGGUGCUGCCGAUGGUGGAGGAAAUUCUCAUGCACGUGCUAAGGGUGAAGAUGGUUCAACCGUCAUUCAAUAUAAAAUUACGGACUUGAACUGUUAACCUCACCCAAACCCUGAUGAGGAAUGAGAAGUUUAGGAUGUUAGUGUAAGAAACUUAUUUUGUUGAUGUAUUAAGGAUUAAGCAGUA